GUGGCAAGCGUUGUCCGGAAUUAUUGGGCGUAAAGCGCGCGCAGGUGGUCCUUUAAGUCUGAUGUGAAAGCCCACGGCUCAACCGUGGAGGGUCAUUGGAAACUGGGGGACUUGAGUACAGAAGAGGAAAGUGGAAUUCCACGUGUAGCGGUGAAAUGCGUAGAGAUGUGGAGGAACACCAGUGGCGAAGGCGACUUUCUGGUCUGAAACUGACACUGAGGCGCGAAAGCGUGGGGAGCGAACAGGAUUAGAUACCCUGGUAGUCCACGCCGU
rnacentral:rRNA from 1 species